rnacentral:rRNA from 1 species
GACGAACGCUGGCGGCGUGCCUAACACAUGCAAGUCAACUUGACUGAAGGAGCAAUCUGACAGUAGAGUGGCGCAAGGGUGCGUAACGCGUAAGUAACUUGCCCCAAGGUAAGGAAUAACGCCGAGAAAUCGGCGCUAAUACCUCAUAAUGCAGCGGAUCCGCAUGGAUAUGUUGUUAAAGGUUUACCGCCUUGGGAUAGGCUUGCGUCUGAUUAGCUAGUUGGUGUGGUAACGGCACACCAAGGCUACGAUCAGUAACUGGUCUGAGAGGAUGAUCAGUCACACUGGAACUGAGACACGGUCCAGACUCCUACGGGAGGCAGCAGUGAGGAAUAUUGGGCAAUGCUCGAAAGAGUGACCCAGCAACGCCGCGUGGAGGAUGAAGGUAUUCUAUAUCGUAAACUCCUGUGAGAGCAGACGAAAGACAGAUUAUUAAUCUGGAUGACUGUAUGCUCAGA